AACGAACGCUGGCGGCAUGCCUAACACAUGCAAGUCGAACGAGUCCUUCGGGUCUAGUGGCGCACGGGUGCGUAACGCGUGGGAACCUGCCCUUAGGUUCACAAUAACUCACCGUACGGGGUGCUAAUACCGGAUAAUGUCUACGGGCCAAAAAUUUAUCGCCUUUGGUUGUGCCCGCGUUGGAUUAGCUAGUUGGUAUGGUCAAAGCCUACGAAGGCGACGAUCCAUAGCUGGUCUGCGAGGAUGAGCAGCCACACUGGGGCUGAGACACGGCCCAGACUCUUACGGGAGGCAGGAGUGUGGAAUAGUGGACAAUGGGGGAAGUCAUGAUGCAGCAAGGCCGCGUGAGUGAUGAAGGCAGGAGAGUUGUAAAGCGCUUGUAACCGAGAUGAUAAUGACGGUACCGGGAGAAUAAGCCCCGGCUAACUCCGUG
rnacentral:rRNA from 1 species